AACGAACGCUGGCGGCAGGCCUAACACAUGCAAGUCGAGCGGACCCUUCGGGGUUAGCGGCGGACGGGUGCGUAACGCGUGGGAAUAUGCCCUUCUCUACGGAAUAGUCCUGGGAAACUGGGGGUAAUACCGUAUACGCCCUUUGGGGGAAAGAUUUAUCGGGGAAGGAUUAGCCCGCGUUGGAUUAGGUAGUUGGUGGGGUAAUGGCCUACCAAGCCGACGAUCCAUAGCUGGUUUGAGAGGAUGAUCAGCCACACUGGGACUGAGACACGGCCCAGACUCCUACGGGAGGCAGCAGUGGGGAAUCUUAGACAAUGGGGGCAAGCCUGAUCUAGCCAUGCCGCGUGAGUGAUGAAGGCCUUAGGGUUGUAAAGCUCUUUCAGCUGGGAAGAUAAUGACGGUACCAGCAGAAGAAGCCCCGGCUAACUCCGUG
rnacentral:rRNA from 1 species